GCCGCGUUGGCGUAGUGGUAGCGCGUCCCACUUGUACCAUGUGAUGUUUCGCAUGAACAGCAAUGGGAAGGUCAUUCGUUCAAUCCGGGUACGUGGCA